rfam:Trichobilharzia regenti genome assembly, scaffold: TRE_scaffold0024558
GUACCGAUGAAGAGUCCUAAACUAGGACGAAACAGCUGUUCAGUAC